AUUAUCAACCCUCAAGCCUUUGCUUGCUGUUGGACCUCUUGUCGGUGAAACGACAGGUCUCAAAGAUAAUGACGGUGCCAGUCGGACCCUAGAUGCAACGAGCUUUUUUAGCACGCAUUAUAAGGGACCAGCUUGCCCGGUCUUAAACUAUAAUCUUCAAGGUUGACCUCGGAUCAGGUAGGAAUACCCGCUGAACUUAA
rnacentral:misc_RNA from 1 species